rnacentral:rRNA from 1 species
AGGAUGAACGCUGGCGGCGUGCCUAAUACAUGCAAGUCGAGCGAACAGAUAAGGAGCUUGCUCCUUUGACGUUAGCGGCGGACGGGUGAGUAACACGUGGGUAACCUACCUAUAAGACUGGAAUAACUCCGGGAAACCGGGGCUAAUGCCGGAUAACAUUUAGAACCGCAUGGUUCUAAAGUGAAAGAUGGUUUUGCUAUCACUUAUAGAUGGACCCGCGCCGUAUUAGCUAGUUGGUAAGGUAACGGCUUACCAAGGCAACGAUACGUAGCCGACCUGAGAGGGUGAUCGGCCACACUGGAACUGAGACACGGUCCAGACUCCUACGGGAGGCAGCAGUAGGGAAUCUUCCGCAAUGGGCGAAAGCCUGACGGAGCAACGCCGCGUGAGUGAUGAAGGUCUUCGGAUCGUAAAACUCUGUUAUUAGGGAAGAACAAAUGUGUAAGUAACUAUGCACGUCUUGACGGUACCUAAUCAGAAAGCCACGGCUAACUACGU